rnacentral:siRNA from 1 species
CAUACUCUCGCUGAUCAACCACCG